rnacentral:lncRNA from 1 species
GGGGGCGUGGCGGCAUUGGCCGGCGGAGUCUGGUCGCGGGUCGUUCGGCUCAAGUACAGCGCGCGCCCCCAUGGUGAGGUGCGGCCUGCUGGCCCGACCGGCAGGUCAGAGCGAAAGGGAGGCACAGCGCAGGGCUCUUAGGGCGCCCGGCGGCAGCCGCCUCCUUCUACGGCCAUACCACCCUGAACGCGCCUGAUCUCGUCUGAUCUCGAGGGCUCACAUUUGAUGGUGGUCUUGUCAUCUCCUACCUCUUUCUCGUAAAGCUGGCAGCUGAGGGAAUGAGUUUACCUGCACGAAUUCUCCAGAUGUUUAUACAGCAUCCAGUAUACAACAAAGACUACAUUUUGAACUCGAUGGAAUCUUUACUGUUAAUACUUGUUACAUGGACCCGAAGAUAUUACAGGGUUUUUAAUUAGUGAAAAAUUCAUGAAUACCAUAGAGAAAAUAUUUUAGAAUUUAAUGUUUCUGAUAUUUAUGUAAACUUAUGACUUCAUUUAUAUAAUUACUUCCUUUUUCUUGUAUAUUCAGGCUAUGAAUAUCCUUUCAGAUCAAUUCAUGUUCUGAUACCUGAUUUCAGUCUUUCAAAUGAAUGUACUGUAGUGCUUGUCUGUAUAAAUCCUAUGAACAAACACAGGGCUUUUGUAAAUGAUGCAUUUAUUGUAAUUAUUCUUGUUUAAUUUUUCAAUGUUAAACCAUGAGAGAAGGGGUUUUCCUGCGAUUGUAAAAUCAUCAUGACACGGUGUGCUUUAUUAUCCUUCCAGAAUGUAACCAAGCUCUCCAACAAUCACUCUGAAAUAAGCAAACUUAAUUUCAACCAAUUGUUGUUGGAUGUUAACGACUGGCCUAAACUGUACUUUUUCUAGCAAGAAAUGCUUUUUGUCCACAGCGUGAAGUGAUUUAAAAGUACUGGGUGUUAAAUGUGAGCUUCUAAUGAAAUUUGGGCUGAAAGGAUGCCUAGAAGAAGACUGAAAAUCUCUCCUGUAACCCAGUCUCUGUGGACCCGGAUCCCUCCUCUCUGGUGAGACUCUUUGGGGACCAAUCGCGAUGCCCUGCACCCGCUGCAGAGCCAUCGAGCUGGACAGUGAAGGUGCCACUUCCCAGACAGACAGGGUAGUGUAGCUCUGACAAAGGCCUUAUUUUUAUGUAAAUCAUCUUUUUACAUGAUUGUAAACAUGUUUAAAGAAUGGACCUAGGCGUACAUUUUUAGAUUGUGAUGACAUAGCCAUUCUGGAUUGUAUAAGUAGCAAAUGUAAUUUUUACUUUUUCAGCGGCACAUUAAAAAAGCCAGCAAGAGAUGCGUUCAGGUCACAGUGUGAUAUUUAUUAUGCAGCUGGUAUCUUGGUAGACAGAGACAGCAUGUCUCUUUACAUGUGGGUUCGCCUUUAAUUUACUUGUACAAUUCAUUGUUAUCAUUCUAUUUUCCUAUUAAUCUUUUGUGAACUUCCCGAAUAUGUGACAAAGUAUGUACAGUCUACUUUUGAACUAUUUUUAUCACAGUAUUAUUUAUUGCUUUCUUUCAAUAAAGUACUGAAGCAAAAUUUCCCA